rfam:Methanosarcina mazei strain Goe1, complete genome.
UAGUCUGAUGCCAAGAUCCCGGACAACCAGGCAGGACACGAAAAGACAAUGACAUGUCUCCUCCCGGCGCUUGCCGGAGCAAAUACCAUCUACGGAGCCG